rnacentral:rRNA from 1 species
AGAGUUUGAUCCUGGCUCAGGAUGAACGCUAGCGGCAGGCCUAACACAUGCAAGUCGAGGGGUAACAGAAAAAAGCUUGCUUUUUUGCUGACGACCGGCGAACGGGUGCGUAACACGUAUGUAACCUACCUAUAACUGGCGAAUAGCCUACUGAAAAGUGGAUUAAUACGCCAUAAUAUGUAUUUAAGGCAUCUUUUAUACAUUAAAGCUCCGGCGGUUAUAGAUGGACAUGCGCAACAUUAGCUUGUUGGUGAGGUAACGGCUCACCAAGGCAACGAUGUUUAGGGGUUCUUAGAGGAUGAUCCCCCACACUGGUACUGAGACACGGACCAGACUCCUACGGGAGGCAGCAGUGAGGAAUAUUGCGCAAUGGAGGAAACUCUGACGCAGCCAUGCCGCGUGCAGGAAGACGGUCUUAUGGAUUGUAAACUGCUUUUAUAUGCCAAGAAACCUUAGUACGUGUACUAAGCUGACGGUAGCAUAUGAAUAAGGAUCGGCUAACUCCGUGCCAGCAGCCGCGGUAAUACGGAGGAUCCAAGCGUUAUCCGGAUUUAUUGGGUUUAAAGGGUCCGCAGGCGGAAAAUUAAGUCAGUGGUGAAAUCCUACAGCUUAACUGUAGAACUGCCAUUGAUACUGGUUUUCUUGAGUACAAAUGAGGUGAGUGGAAUGUGGCGUGUAGCGGUGAAAUGCAUAGAUAUGCCACAGAACACCAAUUGCGAAGGCAGCUCACUAACAUGUAACUGACGCUGAGGGACGAAAGCGUGGGGAGCGAACGGGAUUAGAUACCCCUGUAGUCCACGCCGUAAACGAUGAUCACUCGAUGUUGGCGAUAUACUGUCAGUGUCUGAGCGAAAGCAUUAAGUGAUCCACCUGGGGAGUACGAUCGCAAGAUUGAAACUCAAAGGAAUUGACGGGGGCCCGCACAAGCGGUGGAGCAUGUGGUUUAAUUCGAUGAUACGCGAGGAACCUUACCUAGGCUUAAAUGUAGAUUGACUUAUUGGGAAACCAGUAUUUCUUCGGACAAUCUACAAGGUGCUGCAUGGUUGUCGUCAGCUCGUGCCGUGAGGUGU